GUGGGGAAUCUUAGACAAUGGGGGCAACCCUGAUCUAGCCAUGCCGCGUGAGUGAUGAAGGCCUUAGGGUUGUAAAGCUCUUUCAGUGGGGAAGAUAAUGACGGUACCCACAGAAGAAGCCCCGGCUAACUCCGUGCCAGCAGCCGCGGUAAUACGGAGGGGGCUAGCGUUUUUCGGAAUUACUGGGCGUAAAGCGCACGUAGGCGGAUCGGAAAGUUGGGGGUGAAAUCCCAGGGCUCAACCCUGGAACUGCCUUCAAAACUAUCGGUCUGGAGUCCGAGAGAGGUGAGUGGAAUUCCGAGUGUAGAGGUGAAAUUCGUAGAUAUUCGGAGGAACACCAGUGGCGAAGGCGGCUCACUGGCUCGGUACUGACGCUGAGGUGCGAAAGCGUGGGGAGCAAACAGGAUUAGAUACCCCUGUAGUCC
rnacentral:rRNA from 1 species